rnacentral:RNase_P_RNA from 1 species
AGUUGGUCGGUCUGUCGCUUGCGUCUCGUACGUAUGAGGAAAGUCCGGGCAACAUAGAGCAUCCUACUUCCUAACAGAAAGCUGUCCGUGAGGGCAGAGUAACAUAGAAGAAAAUAACCGCCAGAGCUUUCGAGCCAUGGUAAGGGUGAGAAGGUAGGGUAAGAGCCUACCAGUCUUGUGGUGACACAAGGGCUGUAUGUCUUAGGAGUUGUAAGGUCAUGUAAACCGGCGUAAUGAGAGUUGCUCGCUCCAUGUCGGAGGGUAGACCGCUAAAGCCUGUAUGGUGACAUGCGGCUCAGAUAAAUGACAGACACUUCUUCAAUGAAGAAUGUAAUAAUUAAGAAUGAAUAAUUCCAAAGAAAGACAUCUUUAUGAACAGAAGAACAGAACCCGGCUUACAGACCGACUGCU